rnacentral:rRNA from 1 species
CCUACGGGUGACAGCAGUGAGGAAUAUUGGUCAAUGGGCGCGAGCCUGAACCAGCCAAGUAGCGUGACGGAUGACUGCUCUACGGGUUGUAAACUUCUUUUAUAAAGGAAUAAAGUGAGGUACGUGUGCCUUUUUGUAUGUCCUUUAUGAUUCACGACCGCCUAAUUCCGUGCCAGCAGCCGCGGUUAUACGGAGGCACCGAGCGUUAUCCGGAUUUAUUGGGUUUAACGGGAGCGUAGAUGGGUUGUUAAGUCAGUUGUGAAAGUUUGCGGCUCAACCGUAAAAGUGCAAUUGAUACUGGCAGCCUUGAGUACAGUUGAGGUAGGCGGAAUUCGUGGUGUAGCGGUGAAAGGCUUAGAUAUCACGAAGAACUCCGAUUGCGAAGGCAGCCUACUAAACUGCCACUGACAUUGAUGCUCGAAAGUGUGGGUAUCAAACAGGAUUAGAUACCCCGGUAGUC